AACGAACGCUGGCGGCAUGCCUAACACAUGCAAGUCGAACGAGACCUUCGGGUCUAGUGGCGCACGGGUGCGUAACGCGUGGGAACCUGCCCUUAGGUUCGGAAUAACUCCCCGAAAGGGGUGCUAAUACCGGAUAAUGUCUUCGGACCAAAGAUUUAUCGCCUUUGGAUGGGCCCGCGUUGGAUUAGCUAGUUGGUAGGGUAAAAGCCUUCCAAGGCGACGAUCCAUAGCUGGCCUGAGAGGAUGAUCAGCCACACUGGGACUGAGACACGGCCCAGACUCCUACGGGAGGCAGCAGUGGGGAAUAUUGGACAAUGGGCGAAAGCCUGAUCCAGCAAUGCCGCGUGAGUGAUGAAGGCCUUAGGGUUGUAAAGCUCUUUUACCCGGGAUGAUAAUGACAGUACCGGGAGAAUAAGCUCCGGCUAACUCCGUG
rnacentral:rRNA from 1 species